rnacentral:rRNA from 1 species
GAUGAACGCUAGCGGCAGGCCUAAUACAUGCAAGUCGAACGAUAUUAAGGGGCUUGCUCCUUAAGAAAGUGGCGCACGGGUGCGUAACGCGUAUGCAACCUACCUUAAUCAGGGGGAUAGCCCGAAGAAAUUCGGAUUAACACCGCAUAAAAACACAGGAUAGCAUUAUCCAAUGUUCAAAUAUUUAUAGGAUUAAGAUGGGCAUGCGUGUCAUUAGCUAGUUGGCGGGGUAACGGCCCACCAAGGCGACGAUGACUAGGGGAUCUGAGAGGAUGACCCCCCACACUGGAACUGAGACACGGACCAGACUACUACGGGAGGCAGCAGUAAGGAAUAUUGGUCAAUGGAGGCAACUCUGAACCAGCCAUGCCGCGUGCAGGAAGACUGCCCUAUGGGUUGUAAACUGCUUUUAUCCGGGAAUAAACCUUUCUACGUGUAGGAAGCUGAAUGUACCGGAAGAAUAAGGAUCGGCUAACUCCGUGCCAGCCGCCGCCGUAAAAC